rnacentral:rRNA from 1 species
UACGGGGGGGGCAAGCGUUGUUCGGAAUUACUGGGCGUAAAGGGCGCGUAGGCGGCCUUCUAAGUCGGACGUGAAAUCCCUCGGCUCAACCGAGGAACUGCGUCUGAUACUGGAAGGCUUGAAUCCGGGAGAGGGAUGUGGAAUUCCAGGUGUAGCGGUGAAAUGCGUAGAUAUCUGGAGGAACACCGGUGGCGAAGGCGGCAUCCUGGACCAUUACUGACACUGAAAAGCGAAAGCCAGGGGAGCAAACGGG